rnacentral:lncRNA from 1 species
AAGAUACAAGAAAAUGAGCUGAUAUAGGACUUUUUAAAUCUAAACUAUGUAUUUCAAGGUAGCGGUAUGGGGAGGGGACAACACAGAUUCAAACAUUCUAGAGCAACAACCCCAUAAAGUGAAAACCAAUGCUCACCAUGGGCUAUGAGAUACCACAAGAUUCUGGCCUAAAGAUUCAACGAGGUUUACUCUCUUGUACUUACCAAAGCAGGAAAUGUAAGAAAAAAAAUUCAGCAGCAAUGGCUAACUCUUCACUAUGAAGAACUCCAUACGAAAAAAAAUGUUAACUAAGAUUCAUUUAAGGAUGACAACAUGGAUUGUUUUUUUUUUUUUUUUUUUUCUUUAAAAGGGAGAGAUGAUCAUUCGCACUGCAAAAGGACAAAGUCUACAGUCAUUUAAGGUUGGCAGUUCGAUUCCAUUUAAAAUGAAAGUAUGUGUUUUCUGGUUGCUUUGCAAUUAAGAACCAUGUUUAUAGUAUUUACUUAUUUGGUUAGAUUUAGCAAAAUGUAAUUGGAAAAAAAAUAAGCAAUGAAUUCAUUGGAAUAUUUCUGAAAAUGUGUUCUAAGAAACAUCAGUCCCUCAGGAUGGUUUGGAAAAUUUUCUUAUGGUUUAAUAAGUUUGGGAAAUACUGUAUAAUACAUGGUCCUAUUGGGACUUUAAGUAAUACAUUAAUAUUAUUAUAGGCUUUAAGAAUCUUCACCUCUAAGAAUAACAUUUAGCUUAGCCCAAAGCACAGAACUGUUCCAAAUGUCUUUGACCAUCAAAGCUGUUCUCCUAGUAAUACCUAUUAAACUCCUACACAAAGAGUGUUGUUUGAAACACACUUCAGAAAUUGCUGAUGUCUGGUGUACAGUGUGGUGGCCAUAUAAUUAUAGUGAUACCUAUAAAAGCAGAGUAAUGUGAAACAUAUUCUGCUGUCCAUUCCGUCUGUCCACAGUCAGAAGGAUAAUUAAGCUGAGAUAGAUGGCUCACAUGCAACAAAAAGGGAGAGAGACUGGUUUUGAAACGUUUUUUUUCCCAGCCCUAGAUUUUUACACUCUAUUGAUUUUACUAUGUUACUUGGGGAAAGUAUUAGCAUACAUAUAUAGUUACAUACAAACACAAACAAUUUAGAGGCCUAGAAAACAGUCAACACUAUAUUAGUUCAAAUAUCUUCGAGAACCUUCUCUCUGCUAGGCAUUCUGUUGAUGAGAGAAUAGAACAUACAGCUUUGGUGUUUCAGAGUCCAAUGUCGAAGAGGAGGGUGGUGAGAAAUAAUUUCUCCAACAACAUGCUUUUCCUGAAAUCUAACAACCUCUCAAACGAAUUAAGAACACCAAGAUGGAAACUUUAACAUAAUCUGAAGUGAUUGGGUAUGAUUUCAACUAUUCUCUGAAGGCUACAUUUCAUCUGAUAUUUUGCAGAGAAAGGUACGGUAAUGGAAGAGAAUAUAUAUGGAGAUACUACUCAAAUGAUUAUGCUGGUUUUCCACACUAAAAUUUACUUAACUAUAUAACACUGUUCAACAUAAGAUUUUUAUUUUAGACUUUGUAUUACAUAAUAAUUACACAUGGAUUUUCUACUAUAGGCUAAAAAGGUAAGAUUUUUUUAAGGAAAUGAUUAUUAUCUCAUGGGAGUUCAUAAUCUAAUUAGAAAAACAAAAUAUGUAUCCAUACAAUGGAUAACACCACAAGGGAGAUAUGAUUAAGUGUCGUGAUAAAUGACAGGAGAUAAAGAUAGCAGGUGCUAUAAGAGGAUUAGAGAAAAGAAAUCAAGCUUCACUAUUUUCAUGGAUAUAAAACACCUAAAUUAUAAAAUCAACCUGAUUUAAGUGGAUUUAACUUGUCAUUUUGAUUUUGCUUGUUUAAAGUUUUACAGAAUUGAGACUUCUCACCAGGUGGCCAGAUAGAGAAUAGAACAUGCUACCUGGUGACACCUGCUGCAAAUCAAGAGACUGUGUGCCCAUACAUACACACGCACGUGCUUGCAUUUAUGUAUAUAGACAUACACGCACACACUGCCUGAUUUGAAUUUCUAUGAACCCAAUUUGUAUUUGCAUUGGGGCUCAAUAUUGUGAGAUUCUCAAAUGCAAGAAACUGUGAAAAUACCUGGUCUCAUUAUCUAAACUUUCAGUCUGAGGUUUAGCCAUCCCUGAACAAUCAUGGCCCAGCGCCGAAAGUAAAGAUGCAUCUCCAUAAGCACAAAUUGUAACAAUAACACUUUGCAUUUCUGAAACAUCUUCUAUUGAAAUAGCUCAUUCUCAGCACUGUUUACAAGCAUUAAUUUAACCUCACAAGAGAAAGAUAAUUUGCAAGGAAUAGGUUAACUGUCUGGUUUGAGAUAGCGCAGUUCCUAGCAUCAGUAUCAAGCAAAGCCUUUCUCACUGCAACCCACAGACUUGACACAAGCAAAACCUACCUGCAUUCCUUUUAAAAUUUUGCUUUCAAAUACUCCCUGACACACUAUCCUAAUAAAUAACAAAAUCCACGAAAUCCUCUCUAAUGUGGUUCUGCCUUUGUUGUUGCUAUCAUUCACAAUCUUUCUCAGGCCUGGCAAGGUCUUUUUCUGUGGGUCUCGAUCUGCUGACAGGAAAAUCAUUACAUAGAAAAGAAUAAUGUCAAAUAUGGGGUGGGGGGGGUCAUUUAUAGGAUGAACACAAAAAUGAAGGAGGUCUGAAACCUCACAGGUAUACUUCAUCAAAAUUCGUCCUAUAGUUCGUUAAUGAAAGUGGUGAUCAUCAGCAUAUGGCAGAUUAGAAUAAGAACAGCAGCAGUGGGUCAGACAAAAAUUUGGUAACAUUUCUCCUCACUGGUUCCCCUGCUGGAAGUCAAGGGAAUUAAAAAUCAGAAUGUUCUGAAAGCAGAAAAGUAUAGUUUUGUGGAAGGAAGGGAAAACAGGGACUCUGACAAUUAUCCUUAGCACUUGGAAACCUUCAUUACUCACUUCUUUUGUUCAAUUAAAUGUAUAGUUGAGCAUUUUUCCAUAAUCAAGGUAUAUACUAGGAGACAGAAGUCCUCAAAAAAGACAAAUAAUAAAGCAAAAAAAAAAAUUUAAAGACUAUUUAUUCACAAGAGACAGAAAGAGAGACAGACACAUAGACAGAGGGAGGAGAAGCAGGCUCCAUGCAGGGAGUCUGAUGUGGGACUCAGUCUCGGGACUCCGGGAUCAUGCCCUGAGCCAAAGGCAGAUGCUCAACCACUGAGCCACUGAGAUGUCCCAAAAGAAAAAAAAAAUUAAAUAAAGCAAAAAGCCAUGAGAAUAUGUUCAUUCAGUCAGUAUAUCUGAAUCAUCUACAAUAGACAUGGCCAGAAGUUCUUAUAAGUGGUGAUGCUUUGGGGGUACCCUGGAGAACUUCGGAAUUUAGCUACGGUAGUUUUUGGUUGUCACAAUAACUAGCAGAGCUCCUAGUACUAACUGAUCAGUAUCCAGAAACGCCUGACACAUCACAAGAGUCAGGACAGUCUGAUCAAACAAUAACUGUCCCAACCCUGCAUGACUUUCAAACAUUCCAUUGCAAGUUCAUACAGGUGAGAAGUUGUUUUAUAAUUCUUUGACAUUAGAACCUAUCUCCAUCUUAUAUUCAUUGUACAAAGAAUGAUUUACAGUUUUAACAGAUACUGAAUUCUAAGUGCAAAUAUCAUACUAACCACAAAUCUAUUUUACGCUAUUUGGAUGAGAAUUUACCAAUACGUAGUCAGAAUUUUGGAAAAUCACAUCAUCAAUGGCUAUGCCACGGCACUUGAGUCAACAAUGUGCUGUGUGUGCCACAGUCAUGGCCAAGUGAUGCCAUGAAUACAAGUAUGCAUCUGCUCACUUUAUUAUAUUUUCUCAGAAAGUCAUGCCUAAGCAUUUAUAUAUUGAAAUCUAUGGCAUUUUACCAUAAUUACUUUUCCUUUAUAUCCACUAUUAUAGCUUAUUACAUGACUAUUUAAGAAUUAUGUGUGCAGGUAGGUUAUAUUAUGUAUUAAUUUCAGCUCAGGAUAAUAAAGGGAUAUUACCUAUUAGUUGUUAUCAAUACCACAUAUUUGUUAUACAUAUUAUUGUAUAUUCUUAUAAAUAAUAUUGAAUAUUAAAAAGGAGGUGGGCCUGUGCUAUACAAUGGUAAUAGCGAUAGAGGGAGGAUUCUUGUAUUCAUAAUGCCAAACAGUCUGGUUUAAAAAACAAGUGUUAAGCCAAUAAGCACAUAGGUAAAAUCACAAACAGUCCUAAGUGCUACAAAGGAAAAAAAAAAAAAAACAAAAACAAAAACAAAACAAAAACAAAAAGACCACGAAUUGAAAGGGAACAGCAGAUAACAUCAUCUGAAUGGAACAGGGUCAGGGAACACUUAAGCAAAAAGAAAGACCCACAAGAUGUCUAGAACUUAUCAAACGGAGAGGGGGUACACAGGAAGCAGAGGGCAGAGCAUGUACAGGUUCAUAUAACUACAAUGAAGAGGAGAAGAAGGGAGUUAAACCAGGGUGAAGGAUCAGGACAGUCACAUAUAGGAAGGGACAGCUUUUGCAUAUCCUCCAUCUCUGUGUAUAAUACUUCCACCUUGCUAAGUACAUUUUCCUUUAAAAGGGAUUCAGAUCUCUGCUCAGAAUCUAUUUAAUGGACCCCAAAUUUUUCCAGAGAACGAAAAAAACAUAACGUGUCACCAGAGUAUACGUACCCUGCUUAAAUGCCUUGAGAUAGAUUAAAGUAUUCCAAUAUUUUCUCUGGGUGAAUGCCAUCUGAAUUGACAAAUUGGGAUUUCCACUCUCUACUCCACAUUUAGCAUGGUAUUGCCCAAACAUUGAAGCAAAUGGCUUCUUGCCUAAGGGUCUGAAAAUAACAAAGCCAAGCAAUACGCACCCAGGGCUCCCUUUGGAUCACUCAAUCAAAGAAAAUAUUAAGUAGUACUGUUUUCAUAACUACCAUUGUGGGGACACUCCGGUGUUGAGAACGAAGCUAAUUCCCUCUCUCGUAAUGCAAUACAGCGGAGAAAAUUCACUGAAGAGGAUUUGUCUGAUAAACUACAAAUAUACAGUAGAUGACUCCAAUCACACACCACAAGCUUUCUUUCUAAGAAGUGUGUACAUAAAAGGAAACCAUCGACUUUUUGAAGCCAGCUAUCGCCCCCUUUUGCAAUCUUGCACCCACUUGGGUAGAAGCAUGGGCAAAGUACAGUUAAAUGAAAUCUUAGCUGUGAGUCUCCUUGCUAACCAUGCAGUGAUUUGGAAAAACUGGGGGGAGGGCAAACACUCAUGGUCUCCCUUCUGAUAGCUUCCCUCCUCCCACUAUCCUCUGCUUAUUUUCUACUUUUCUUUUAAAAAGAACCAGAAGGAAAUCCAUCCUUAUCUGAGCCUGGGUGAGAAAGAAUCUUUAGGAAAAGGUGUGACUAGCUAGGACACAUCUGACACAUAGGCUAAUUGGGGUGUAGGUGGGGAGGCUAUUUCUCAUUCACCCACCCUUCACAGCCGUUGCUGCCUCUACUCCCUCUCUUCAUCAGCCAGUUGAUUGUAUCCCUUUUCUCCUAGUGGAUCAGAAAACAAUUAGGACCCAGACCUAUUACUUUGGAAAGGCUAAAAAGCUUUGCUGUAAAAAUUAAUCCUAUGAGACAUGGAAUUGCUAUCAUGCUUUUCAACUGAGAGAAAAAAGUUUCAUGAUUGACUUUGGGUGGUGGGGGGAGGUUUGGGGUUCUAUAUAAUAUAGGUCUUGGAAAACCUUUAACUUGACUGAAAUUCCAGGUCAUGAAUGUGUUUUUGAAAGCAAGAAGAAAAACUAAAAUCCUUCUGUUUCAAUCGAAUCUCUUCUAAGAUGGGUAGACAUAGGUAUUUUCAGAAACAAUGUUACCUUGUAUUUAAUAUUUGUGAAAUAAAAGUAUAAAUCCCAAAGUUCUAGUCUAUAGUCUCAAUGUAGGAUCCAGUCCUAGCAAUAAAACAGCACACAGACAUCUGUAGGUGGAGAGGGAGGGAUUAGUUACACUAAAUUUAAAGAGGUUCCAUGAUCUUCCUUCGAUUGAAUGUAAAAAUAGGUGUAUGAUUCUAUGUGUGAUAGGCCAGGGUCAGCCUACAGCUGCUUAGAAAGCCUCUGGACUGGAAAGCUUCUAUGAUCCAUGCAGAACCUUGAUACUAUUUUUUAAGUGUUAGGUUGCACUGUCCCUAGAUUCUUAGUUGGAAAUUCUACAUUAGGUUCCAGAUAUCAUACCAGGUGACUUGGAUGAUAGAAUGCUCAUCUGGGGAUUCAGAUGCAGAUUAUGUGUUUCAUAAAUUGAUAAUGAAUAAAAGCCAAGAGUGAAGAGAAUUCAUGCUUCAUGGUAACAGGACUUCCCACCCAUGCUGGUCUCCUAAUCAUUGACCUAGAGCAUUACUUUGAGAGGAAUGCAGCAGAAAAUGAAGCUUCUAUCUGCUUUGCCUCCUCCUGUAUCCUUUGCCACAUAUGAAUUGGUUACAAGUAAAACCUUAUUAGCCACCAUAAUAAUAAGUAAGAGGCCAAAUGUUUCAUAUCUGCUGUCCCAUGAACCUGCAGAAGUCUGGGUCUCUCCCAUUGCAAAUGCACAUUAUUCUAGAGUCCUAAUAAUAUUCACAUUCUUAGGGGAGGAUCAUCACCCCAAUAAAGGUUAAAAUUAAAUGCUCUAUAAAAUGCAGAUUCACUUGGCCAUCCCAUUUCAGGCUUCAGA